rnacentral:lncRNA from 1 species
GAAAGUUACAAAACUUGCCCUCAAGUUUUGGAACAAGUAAAGUUAAGUUAAAACUUUAGUUCCAACCCCUAGAAUUUUAAAAGUUAAAAUUCAACCCUUAUACUUAUAUUAUGAUGAUUUAAUAAUUAUAUAUAUAUGUAUAAGAACAAGUCGUCUUACCGCUAGUACGCCUCAUUCACGAAGCCGGUCUAUAAGGUGGGUAUAAGGUUGUUGCCUAUAAAAUGGUGACUUAAUGGGUGUAUAUUCUCACCCACCGCUUGCUUGACUGGUGGAGGGUCGUUAGCCGAACGGGUAAGACAAGGACUUAUAAAUUCUCAUUCAAAGUAUGAUGAAUAUAUAAAGUAACUAAAUGUUUAUUAAAUUCCCAAUCUUAGUUACUUUAGGAAAAAUGUGAAUAAGGUGCUAAUCCAUGAAAUUACACUUUACACUUUGUCUGAGUCGUUGGUGGAGCGUGUGUGGUUAACCGGCACACUAACUUGGACUUAACAAGGUAGGUAAAGGGUGACUUAAGGUUUAUUAUAGUAUCGGUGGAGCGUGUGUGGUUUACCGGCACAUCGAUUGAGUGAUAAACUUUAAGGGUACCAAGUGAUUUGCAUGGUUACUUCACACCUCGUUUUGUGAUCCUCGGCAUCCCAGUCACAAAACCUGGAGGGCACUCCCGAGAUUGAAACAUGCCUUUGAAAAGUUCAUUGGAUCUCAAAGAAUCUAGGAAUUUCUAAAACCAAUAAAAACUAAAUAUUUAUUAUUUCGGUUUUCGUGGUGGAAAUUGGUGAAUCGUCAUUCACCUACCUUUCAAAUAUGGUAUAGCUUAGAUUACGGCAUACCUCUUCUAAGUUAUAUUAUAUUGUGAUUGGAUCCUAGCCUUAAUAUUACAUUUGGGUGUUUUAUUAAGGACUCUCUUAUAUCUAAACUAAUCUUGUUCUCUUCUUUUCAGAUGUCUUCAAACAAUGCUUCUGGCUCUAAUCCUAAUGGCUCCUUUACCCUUAUGAACUUGUGUGGGAAAGUCACCUUUGAUGGAUCCAACUUCAAUGAGUGGAUCAGAAACAUCAGGAUGAUUACCCGCUACGAGGACAAAGAAUAUGUCCUUGACAAGGAGCUUAAGGAGAUUGAUGAGUCCACUGCAACUCCUCAGGAGAUCGCUGACUUUCGGGCACAUGAAAGGGAUGCUACGAAAGUGGCUUGCAUCAUGAUGGCCACGAUGACAGCGGAACUCCAAAAGUCUUAUGAGGAUUUCUACCCUUAUGAAAUGCACCAAGAUUUGAUGGAAAGAUACCAUCAAAGUGCAAGACAAGAGAGGUAUGAAAUCAUCUGCUCCAUGAUAACAACCAUGAUGAAGGACGGGGAAUCCGUCACGAGCCACAUGCAGAAAAUGCAAAGGUAUGUGGAUCGUUUGCUGAAGCUUAAUGUGAACUUCCCUGAGGAUCUUGCAAUAGAUAUCAUUUUGCACUCCUUACCAUCGUGCUAUGAUCAAUUCCGCAUGACAUAUCACAUGAAUAAGGAAGAGGUCACACUCAGCAAACUUCAGGGACUUCUCAAGACCGCAGAAUCAGGUCUUAAGGGGAAGUCGGUUGCUAUCACUCCUACUCCAAACUCAACUCCGGUUUUGGCAAUUGGGAAAAAUCGAUGGAGGAAGAGAAAGAGAUCCUCGAAGGGUACCAAGGCUCGGACCCUUGAUGGCUCUUCUUCAAGUGGAACCAAGAAAGGUUUCGUCACUCCUUCUUCUGACCCAAAAGAGGCUGAAUGCUUCUAUUGCCAUGAAAAGUCUCAUUGGAAGCGGAACUGCCCAAAGUACCAGCAGGAUGUGAAGGAUGGGAAAGUCAAACCCAACCAUGCAGGUAUUUACACUAUCAUUUCUAAUAACUCACCCCAUUCUAAAUCUUGGGUCCUUGAUACCGGUUGUGGUAUUCAUAUUUGUUGUGACUUGCAGGGACUAAGAAGAAGUGAGAAUGUGGAGCAAGGAAGAAUAAACUUGAUCAUGGGGAAUAGGAAAGCUUUACCUGUUACCAAGAUUGGAGUUUAUACUUUAUCGCUAAGUAGUGGGUUUAAUUUAGAUUUGAAUAAGUGUUGUUAUUCGCCAGGAAUGGCAAGAAAUAUUAUUUCCUUUCAUGCUUUGUACAAACAAGGGUUUACCUUUUCAUUUAAUAAUGAAGUUGGUUCUAUAGAUGUUUUCUAUAAUAAUGUUUUUUAUUUUAAAGCAUUACCUUGUGAUGGUGUGUAUGAAGCUGUAUCUGUUGUAGAUAACUUAGGAAAUAAUGUUUUGUGUAUUGAUUCUACUAAUAAUAAUAACUUGGAUAAAGCAUCAUUAUGGCAUUGUCGUCUUGGACAUAUAAGCAAGAAACGCAUAGGCCAACUCCAAAAGGAUGGAGUCUUGGAGUCGUUUGACCUAAAGUCAGAUGAUAGUUGCGAAUCAUGCUUACUUGGAAAAAUGACAAAGUCACCCUUCACAGGCUCGUGUGAGAGGGGUGAAGGUUUGUUGGACCUUAUACACACGGAUGUGUGUGGACCAUUCAAACAUGCCACAAGGGAUGCUAAUCGUUAUUAUUUGACUUUUACUGAUGAUUAUAGUAGAUAUGGAUAUGUCUACUUGAUCAAGCAUAAGUCAGAGACUUUCGAGAGGUUUAAGGAAUUUAAACAGGAAGUCGAGAAUCAAUUGGGCAGGAACAUUAAGAUGCUUCGAUCCGAUCGUGGUGGUGAGUAUCUUAGUUCAGAGUUCCUCGACUAUCUAAGGGAAUGUGGGAUAGUCUCACAAUUGACACCUCCCAGGACACCACAGUUGAAUGGUGUGGCUGAGAGGCGUAAUCGAACCUUGUUGGAUAUGGUUCGUUCCAUGAUGAGUCGAGCUACGCUACCAAUCUCAUUCUGGGGGUAUGCCUUAGAGACUGCCGCCCAUAUUCUUAAUCUAGUCCCUACAAAGAAAGUUGCCAAAACUCCUCACGAGAUGUGGACUGGUAAAGUACCUAAACUAGACCACAUCAAGAUUUGGGGUUGCGAGGCUUUCGUGAGACGCGAGACUCAUGAUAAGCUCGAACCUCGAAGCGAGAGGUGUAUUUUCAUCGGUUACCCACAGCGAUCCUUUGGUUACCUCUUCUACAGACCUAGUGACAAUGUGGUCUUUGUAGCAAGAAGAGGAGUCUUUCGAGAAAGAGAGUUUAUAAGCCAAGGAGACAGUGGGAGGCAAAUUGAUCUUGAAGAAAUUCAAGAAUCAAGCGGUGAAGGAACUUCAAACUCUAGCCCUCAACUUGAGGAGGAAACUCCUGUUGAGCCAAUUGACAAAUCUGUACCUCUGAGACGUUCCACGAGAGUUAGGAGUGCACCUGAGCAUUACUAUGGAUUCCAUAUUACUGCAGAAGGUGAGACACUUAUUAGUGAUGAGACACUAGUAAGUCAAGAUGACCCUAACAGCUACGAGGAAGCCAUGGCAGGCCCCGAGUCUGCUAAAUGGAAAGAGGCUAUGGAUAGCGAGAUACAAUCCAUGUAUGACAAUCAAGUUUGGAACUUGGUUGAAAAUGUACCAGGUCGUAAGACAGUAGGGUGCAAAUGGGUCUUCAAGAAGAAGACCGACAUGGAUGGUAAAGUACACACUUAUAAGGCUAGACUGGUUGCAAAGGGCUUCUCUCAAAUUCCUGGAGUGGAUUAUGAUGAGACCUUUUCUCCGGUAGCCAAGAUUAAGUCUAUUCGGGUUCUGUUAGCCAUAGCUGCAUUUCAUGACUAUGAAAUAUGGCAGAUGGAUGUCAAAACCGCUUUCCUUAAUGGAAAGUUGGCUGAAGAUGUUUACAUGAGUCAGCCAGAGGGUUUUGUCAGCAACGAGUACCCUAAUAGAGUGUGUAAGCUUGAGAAAUCCAUUUAUGGAUUGAAGCAAGCACCUCGCAGAUGGAAUCUUUGCUUUGAUGAAAAGGUCAAGGAAUUUGGCUUUUCUAGGAGUGAAGAUGAAUCUUGUGUGUAUGUCAAGGCUAGUGGGAGUAUAGUUAGCUUUUUGGUAUUGUAUGUGGAUGACAUACUACUCAUAGGAAACGACAUUCCAACCCUGCAGGAAGUAAAGUCCUGGCUUGGGAAGUGUUUCGCUAUGAAGGACCUUGGUGAAGCUGCCUAUAUUCUAGGGAUAAGAAUCUUGAGAGAUCGGAGUAAAAGACUAAUUGGACUUAGUCAGAGUACCUACUUGGAUAAGGUGCUGAAGAGAUUCAGCAUGCAGGAUUCCAAGAAAGGAGAGUUACCCAUCCAGAGUAACACCAGAUUGAGUAAGACACAAAGCCCUAGCACUGAGGCUGAGAUAGCAGAAAUGAGUCGAACACCUUACGCUUCGGCUGUAGGAUCGAUCAUGUAUGCUAUGACGUGUACUCGACCCGAUGUAGCUUUUGCCUUGAGCAUGGUUAGCAGGUAUCAGGCGAACCCUGGCAAGGCACACUGGACUGCGGUAAAGAAUAUCCUCAAGUACCUACGGAGGACUAAGGACUGGGUCCUUACCCUCGGUGGGAGUGAUGACUUGAGAGUUGUAGGGUAUAGUGAUGCUAGCUUCCAGACUGAUAGGGAUAAUUUCCGCUCUCAGUCGGGCUGGGUCUUUACCCUAAACGGAGGAGCAAUUUCUUGGAAGAGUUCCAAGCAAGAGACAGUGGCAGAUUCUACUUGUGAAUCAGAGUAUAUUGCAGCUAGCGAAGCAGCAAAGGAGGCGAUAUGGCUGAAGAACUUCAUUGGAGACCUUGGAGUUGUACCAGCUAUUAAAGAGCCAAUGGAAAUUUUCUGUGAUAGUGAAAGUGCUGUUGCCUUAGCCAAGGAACCAAGGGAUCAUGGGAGAUCCAGACACAUCGACAGAAAAUACCAUUUCAUUAGACAUCGGAUCGAAGAAGGACUCCUCGUGGCAAAGAGGGUAUCAUCGGAUGAGAACCCAGCAGAUCCCCUCACGAAGGGACUGAGUAGGGUUAAGCAUCUCCAGCAUGCUCGGAGCAUAGGGCUGAAGGAUGAUAUAAGUUUUAGUAGUUAGAUAACCCAGAAAUUUGUAAAGUGUAAUUGACAUUUGAUGAUGAAUAAAAGGUGUUUUAUUUAUGAGUAAAGUGUUGCUAUCUCUUGUCAAUCGUUUACUAUAUUUCUUUUGCAUGUUUUGACUUCCAGAAUAAUUUUGUUUGGUGUAACAUAUUAUUCAAACCUCCACAGUCGGUCAUAUGUCGGAAGUAGGUAUGAAUCAAGACUGUCAUGAUGGGUUGUAGAGGUCUAAGGUGUUGGACAAGGCUACAACAAUCAUGAGUGCUCAUAAGUUCUGAGCAUUGGACUCAACCCACGCUCACUGGAAUCACUUCAUGGAAUUCUAUCUCGAGUGAUCGUGAGACGGUAAUAUCAUAUAAGUCUUCAAACCUAGAGAUAUGAUUUGUUACUUACAAGUUGGUUAUGCAUUGACUGUACGAAACCGCAUUGGUAACUCGAUGUUAUAAAACGUACUUUUGUGUGUAAUUCAAUGAGUGGUAGAACAAACAUAUGAGUCGAAGUUUAUCUGUUCCUUCUUGGAUUAGAAGCUGAUAUCUGGGCCCCUCGAUGAUUUUGUUUUGACCCAUGUACCGGGCCCGGUCAGAACUAAGUUGAUGUGUUCAAUUAAGUUCUAUGUCAAACAAAUCGGAAAUCGGGAAACAAAUGCUGGACAAUAAGCAAGACAAUGUUCCAUGUAUUUGUCCGGCUGAUAUCUAGAACGGAGGAUUAUAUGAUCACUUAUCUUAAAUGGCGUACCAUCAUCUUCUCAGUUCCGAGAGACCUUGAAAGAGCUACGAUUGCCGGUCGGUUCCUGAAGUACUAGAGAUAUAGUUAUUAGACUUAUCCAAGUGGGAGACUGUUGGAUAAGGUGUCUAAGUCCAUAACUAUUUCGGGCUUGUACUUGACCCGACCCGGCAUGGUCCAUUUGGGUUGCAUGGCACCAUGCAAUUGGAUAGACUAAAUGAGAGAAAUAACACUUGGAGAUUAUUAAUAUAUUAUAAGUUCUAAUAUAUUAAUAAUAUUAUUUGAUUAGUUGAUCAAAGAAUUAAUUUGGAAUUAAUUAAGUGAUCAAAGGAUAACUAAUUAAAUAUAUGGGUUGAUUAUGUAAAUCAUCCAUAUCUUGUAUAGUGGGCUAAGAGGCUCCAUGGAUUAUCAAGUUGGGUUCUACCCAUAGGAUGCUCCAUGGAUGCUCCAUGGGAGUUACAAACCCAUGGGUCAUGGAAAUGAAGAGUCAUGACACAUUAGGGUUUACAUGGUGUAACCCUAGAUGUGUCAACACUAUAUAAGAAUCAUAUUCUCCACCAAAAUCGGCUACACUAAGAAACUAGAGGGCUUGGCCGAUUUUGAGAAGUGUGUGUUAUCUCAAGAGUCUUUCCAAGAGCAUUUGGUGUUGUGUGAAGCAUUUGAGGCAUCACACUUGGGGUGCUAGGCUCACAAGGUUUCAAGGAACACAAGCAACAACAAGGUAAGUUAUUCUAUCUAUGAUUCAAGUUAAAAUUGUUCCCCAUGUAUGCUAGAUAGGAAUAUAACCUUGGAAUUCAACUUUGCAUGAUAAUUAGACAAACAUAGAUCCAAGGUUAUUAGGGUUGCAUGUACACUUAGGAAGUGUUAGAAUGCUCAAAACCCAUCAGUGGUAUCAGAGCCUAGGCUUGUUUGUUUGUUAUUUGUGCUUAAAAGUUGAAGAAAGUCGAAAAUCUUGCUGUCUGACUGAUGGACUCGGCGAGUCCAUGGGGAGGACUCGUCGAGUUCAUGUGUAUCUUCAACCUACUCGGCGAGUAGGUUUAUGCACUCGGCGAGUAGGGUCGACAGAGUGCAGAAUUUCGACUUGAGUUGCUGGAAAUGGAUUAGAAUCAUUACCCUAAAAUGUUUUGGUACUUGAAAACUUAUUUUAGAAGGUGUAAUGUCUUUUCUAACUCAUUUACAACAACUAGUUAUCAAAAUUACAAAGAUUAAAUGUGAUUUUGAUUCUUGAAAGUGUUCAUAUUCAUAUUCUUGUUCUUAUGAUGUUUAGAUGAUCAUAGGAAUUAUUUGUAACCUAUGUGGUAGAUUAAUUCAUGAUCAUAAUGUGUUUUAAUGGAGUCCAUAACUUGUCCUCAAGUUAUGGAAAACCAAAAGUCUCUUGGAUUAAAAACCAUUAAAAGAACACAAGAGUUAGGAAAAAUGAAAAGUCCUCAUUUUAUUACUCUAUUAAACUCAUAAGUUACAAGAAAUGAAAAGUUUUGAAAGUUUACAAAACUUGCCCUCAAGUUUUGGAACAAGUAAAGUUAAGUUAAAACUUUAGUUCCAACCCCUAGAAUUUUAAAAGUUAAAAUUCAACCCUUAUACUUAUAUUAUUAUGAUUUAAUAAUUAUAUAUAUAUGUAUAAGAACAAAGUCGUCUUACCGCUAGUACGCCUCAUUCACGAAGCCGGUCUAUAAGGUGGGUAUAAGGUUGUUGCCUAUAAAAUGGUGACUUAAUGGGUGUCCACUCUCACCCACCGCUUGCUUGAUCGGUGGAGGGUCGUUAGCCGAACGGGUAAGACAAGGACUUAUUAAUUCUCAUUCAAAGUAUGAUGAAUAUUAUAAAGUAACUAAAUGUUUUAUUAAAUUCCCAAUCUUAGUUACUUUAGGAAAAAUGUGAAUAAGGUGCUAUUCCAUGAAAUUACACUUUACACUUUGAUUAAGUCGUUGGUGGAGCGUGUGUGGUUAACCGGCACACUAACUUGGACUUAACAAGGUAGGUAAAGGGUGACUUAGGGUUUAUUAUAGUAUCGAUGGAGCGUGUGUGGUUAACCGGCACAUCGAUUGAGUGAUAAACUUUAAGGGUACCAAGUGAUUUGCAUGGUUACUUCACACCUCGUUUUGUGAUCCUCGGUAUCCCAGUCACAAAACUUGGAGGGCACACUCGAGAUUGAAACAUGCCUUUGAAAAGUUCAUUGAAUCUCAAAGAAUCUAGGAAUUUCUAAGAACCAUUCAAAAACCUAAUACUAAAAUAUUGCGGUUUUCGUGGUGGAAAUUGGUGAAUCGUCAUUCACCUACCUUUCAAAUAUGAUAUAGCUUAGAUUACGGCAUACCUCUUCUAAGUUAUAUUAUAUUGUGAUUGGAUCCUAGCCUUAAUAUUACAUUUGGGUGUUUUAUUAAGGACUCUCUUAUAUCUAAACU